rnacentral:lncRNA from 1 species
UGGGCCUAUUUAAGGAGGCUUUGGGGUGGCGGGCAAUGUUUUUUUUUUUUUUCAUGAUGGCUGCCCCCAAGGGUCUUCUGCUGGUUGCUCUAGUCUUGCUACUUGGUGCUUUGGGGAGGAUGCACAAGUGGCAGGUCCGAUGACAGGUGCUCCAACACCUUGUCCCCGGCCCCCCCUUACCAAACAAACAUAAUAAAGCAAAUAGACAACUGUCCUGGUAAACCAGGCUCCAAAGAGUUAAAGAAACCAAAGACUAAAUUCUUGGACUUACAGAAUAGCAGAUAAGAAAAGAAAGAACUUGCUGAAAAGCUGAAACUAAGACUGUGCCCCGAAGAGUAAGAAACCAGUAACAGAAAUUCUUGAGUUUGCAGGAUAGCAGAUAAGAAAAGAAACAGCUUGCCGAAACACGGACACUCCCUGCACUUACGAGAUCAAGAAAAAAACUGGCUGAUGGCCGGGCCCGGUGCCUCAAGCCUGUAACCCCAGCACUUUGGGAGGCCAAGGUUCUCACUCUGUCACCCAGGCUAAAGUGCAGUGGUGUGAUCUUGGCUCACUGCAGCCUCAACCUUCUGUGCUCAAGUGAUUCUCCCACUUCAGCCUCCUGAGUAGCUGGGACAACAGGAUGUACAGAAAGCAUGGUGCCGGCAUCUGCUCAGCUUCUGGUGAGGGCUUCAGGAAGCGUUUACUCAUAGCAGAAGAGGAAGGGGAGCCAGCGUGUCACAUGGUG